rnacentral:rRNA from 1 species
GACGAACGCUGGCGGCGUGCCUAACACAUGCAAGUCUAACGAGAAAGGGGUAGCAAUAUCCUGAGUACAGUGGCGCACGGGUGAGUAACACGUAGGCAAUUUGCCUUCAGGACGGGGACAACCUCGAGAAAUCGGGGCUAAUACCCGAUAAUGCAGCGGCACCGCAUGGUGACAGUUGUUAAAGGCCCGCAAGGGCGCCCGGAGAUGAGCCUGCGUCCCAUUAGGUAGUUGGUGAGGUAACGGCCCACCAAGCCUACGAUGGUUAGCUGGUCUGAGAGGAUGAUCAGCCACACUGGAACUGAGACACGGUCCAGACUCCUACGGGAGGCAGCAGUGAGGAAUAUUGCGCAAUGGCCGAAAGGCUGACGCAGCGACGCCGCGUGAAGGAUGAAGUCCGUUAGGAUGUAAACUUCUUUUGCAGGGGAAGAAUGUGGCGCCUUGGGCGCCAUUGACGGUACCCUGCGAAUAAGGGUCGGCUAACUACGUGCC